GGUUAAGCGACUAAGCGUACACGGUGGAUGCCCUGGCAGUCAGAGGCGAUGAAGGACGUGCUAAUCUGCGAAAAGCGCCGGCGAGGUGAUAUGAACCYUUGACCCGGCGAUGUCCGAAUGGGGAAACCCAGUGCAAUCCGUUGCACUAUCGUUAACUGAAUACAUAGGUUAACGAGGCGAACCGGGGGAACUGAAACAUCUAAGUACCCCGAGGAAAAGAAAUCAACCGAGAUUCCCCCAGUAGCGGCGAGCGAACGGGGAGCAGCCCGGAGUCUGAAU
rnacentral:rRNA from 1 species